GAUGAACGCUAGCUGGAGGCUUAAUACAUGCAAGUCGAGCGGGAUUGGGUAGCAAUACCCAUGAGAGCGGCGCACGGGUGAGUAACGCGUACACGACCUACCUCUAACAGGGGGAUAGCCCUGGGAAACUGGGAUUAAUACCGCAUAUAAUUCUGAAUAAUAAGGGUUUGGAAUGAAAGCUGAGGCGGUUAGAGAUGGGUGUGCGUCUGAUUAGCUAGUUGGUGGGGUAACGGCCUACCAAGGCGAUGAUCAGUAGGGGGCGUGAGAGCGUGGUCCCCCACACGGGUACUGAGACACGGACCCGACUCCUACGGGAGGCAGCAGUAAGGAAUAUUGGUCAAUGGGCGAAAGCCUGAACCAGCCAUCCAGCGUGCAGGAAGAAGGCCCUAUGGGUUGUAAACUGCUUUUAUCAGGGAAGAAACCUCUGGAUUUACUCCGGAGCUGACGGUACCUGAAGAAUAAGCACCGGCUAACUCCGUGCCAGCAGCCGCCGUAACAC
rnacentral:rRNA from 1 species